GGAAGCAAACCUGCUCCCUCGGUAGCUCUACCUUCCUGACCAAUUUCCAACCGCAGUUCCUGUUCUGAACCCGGAUCUGCAAAUAAGAGCAUUCAUUGGAAGGGAGGUUCAGGGCCUCUGGGAUUUCAUCAGCUGCCAGCUCUCCCAGGAGACUCGGUGACACCCGUCAAGCCAGUGACCAAGGCCAGAAGGCAAGCGGUUCAAGGCCUACCGCCAGGCAACUUCCUUUUGAGUUUUGAAGCCAAGCAGUACACAUCUAAAGAAAUGCCAAGGAGGAAAUAUGGAUUUAUUGUUGCCAAGCCAAUUGGGCUGCAGAGAGAAGAAUAAUACUGAAAGGUCCGCCUUCUGGUUGUGCAAAGCGAAGAGGAGGACAGGGGCAGGGAGCAAGCUUGGGUUCCAUCUCAGUCUCCUACCCCAAGAGAUGUGACAGCCGCCUGGAGCCACCGACCCACAGUGAUGGUGCAAUCCAAACCCCUCCCCUGGAAUCCUGCAGUUGCAGCCACAGGUCACAGGAGGGAAGAGAUGGGAGCCUGGAGCACUUAAACUUCUUUCAAACAAGAUAAAACUUGUUUCCUUUGCUGCUUUUAAACUUGGAAAUAAAGAAUAGUUACCAGCAA